ensembl:lncRNA novel transcript
UUUCUUCUAGAGGAGAUGACAUUUGAGCAAGAUCUUAAAGAAAAUCAGAUGCCUUCACCUGACCACUGCUUGGUGAUCCCAUGGCACUUUGUACAUCUCUCCAUUAGCUCUCAUCUCACCAGCCCAUCAUUAUUGUAUGUGCUGCCUUCUGAAGCUUGCAGCUGGCUACAUCAGUCCAAUGUGAAUAACAAAAUGAAGAAUAUCAGGAUGAUUCGAGACCAGGAAUACUACAGAUGUCCAACACUUCCACCUGGAAUCCCCAAAGAGGCCCGCUUUUAGCCUCCACACUGGUUGGUGACCUGACAUGAGAGAAAUGACAGAAAUCUCAGAAGACUGGCCUCAUGAAUAAUCUUCAGUUUCAAUGUAACAAAGCAAGCCUUCUAGAAAUUACCUGCCUCUGCAGUUCACUCUGCUGCUUCAGAUGAAAAUUUUCAGAGUUCCACCACCCCUGGAGAAUACAGCAACUGUUUACUGCAAUCAGCAAUCAGGAUGGAGAAUUCGUGCUGUGGGGGCCAAUCCAGGGGUUCCCUGUCAUGAGCAGUGGGGAGUGUGUAGAACCCAUGAGAGAUGGGCUUUGGUCAAUUAAAGCUUGUUGAAGGUGUAGAUAAGGGUGUUAGCUCC